CUUGUCUGCCGGCUCGUGGUCGCUGGCCGCCUCGGGUCCAGGCCCUCCUCCUCCUCGGCGUCUGGCUACUGCGCACGCUGAGCCUGGCCCGCUGGGGGUUGUCACGGGGUGGGGACCGGGCAGCAGGUGGCACAGUCCCCAAGCGCUCAGCUGGGCUGGAGCUACUGUGGGGGUGCAGGGAGAGCCCAGGCUGGGGCUCAGCCCAGACGGAGGGGACGAGUUAACCUCGGGAAGAGGAGCUGAGGCUGCGGGCGGGGGAGGGGUCCCACUCUGGGCCGGGCCGCCCUCUGUCCUUGAGUCCCGCUCUCCCGGACGCAGCGCAUGGGCUGCCCUCGGGCGCCUCUGUUCAGCCUCCUGACCUCACGGCCGCAGCCUGACGUGUCCCUGGAGUCGGUGGCACCAGCCACACCGAGGAAAGACUUCACCUCCCUCCCAUCUCCUCCCCUGCCAGCUCCCUCCUUCCCCCCUCCCCCACAGAAAGUUCCUGAGCAUCUUAAUCCGAGACCCAGACAAUGACGCAGGACUCGUAGACAGGGUCACACCCACGGCUCUGCAGACCUGAGCCGCUGCAGACAGGUUCUCAACCCGUUGUGCCACAGCAGGAACUCCGAUGACACGUUCUUUUGCUGAAUCCUCAGGAAGUCAGAAUGGGGAGGCUGGCUCCAGUUCACAGGUGGACGGUGGUCGCGCCACCAAGGGCCUGUCCUUCGUGUGUCUAGUGGCCCGUGCAGGCUGCUGUUGACCCAGUGACCUGUCUGCUCACGCCUCUUCACUCGUAUCAGGAAUGUUUUCUGACGUCUCCCCCAAGUCCCCCGAAGUUACAAAGCUAACCUUGGUUCUCGGACUUUCCUGGACCCGGUAGGACAAGUGCUCGUCCCUUGCUUCAGGCCAAACAGCCCCCAGCCCUCUGAGUCCUGCUUCUCUGCCUCCCUGGGGCUUGGAUGGAAACCCACAGAUCAAGCAAAAGCAGAAGUUUUGAGGCCUCAAAGAAUUUUUUUAAAAUCUUUGAAACAAAGAAGUUUUGGAGGCUGUAACGCAAAAAAAAAAAAAAAAUCCCCCUGUGGCUGCUGCUAAGUUUUGGCCUCUGGCUUGAGUCUCGAGCUCCCCCUUGGGCUUGAGAAAGAGACAGAGGGUGGCCGGGGCUGUACCCCUGCCCCAGGGCAAGAGCCGGGGUGGAGAGGCCACUUGAAUCUGUGGGAGGUGGGGGCAUGGGCCCCUCUGCCCCCCAGCCCCCCCAGCCCCCUGUCCCACCUCAGCUCCCCCGGGAGCCUGCGCAGCUGAGUUUCCUUCCUGUGACCCGAGUUGUUUGUCCUGUCUCUCGUUUUCAGGGCGCUCACCCUCUGUCCCCAUCACUCUCUCUCUCGGGGCUCUAGUCCAAACCAUCCCUUCCUCAGUGUAGUGGAAGGUUUGGGCCAUUGUUUCCAAGGGCCUGGUCACUUUAGAGCCACUGUCACCGUUCCGCAUGUUUUUUGUACCCUUCCCCACUUGCUGUCUUUUAAUCUAUGUCCUGCACUAAUAACUGUAUUUUAAAUGACCGCGAUGAUAAGUGGAAAACCAGCUUCCCUCACUAUAAAUAGAAGGAAACAAUAGCCAU